rnacentral:lncRNA from 1 species
AUAUUUUAUUAAUCUAGUUUGAAUUAUAUUAUGACUAUUAUGCAAGGAUUGAUUCCAAAAUAAAACAAAAAAAGAAAAAGAAAAUGAGAAUGUUACUAAGUGCAGUUACAAUAAGAAUGUUAUCCAUAUCAUUUCUCCUUUAUGACUUUUAUCUACGUUGAAGUGGUAGAGCUCUGUCUUGUAUUAUAUACUACCUAACCAAAUGAUACAUAUGACAGAUCUACGUCAUUGGUUUCAUCCCUGAAUGAAUUGCAUGAAAAACAUCAUUAAUUUGAACCAUUAUAACUCUAUAAGCUAACAUAUCCUCCCCUAACUGUGUUUAUACUUUAUUUUGUUCAUGUGCACUGAUGAACUUAACAUCGUGCUAUAGCAAAAUUCUCCUUAGUGUUUGCUUGACCUUAAGUCAAAUUAUUGGGCCGGUACUUGCAUAUGAAAACAAUUUCUCUCUUCCUUCAUGCUCAACGGAUGGAUUUUAGGAGUUGUUAUCUGAAAAAUAGUAAAACCAAGCAGAGAGUCGAAGACGACUAGAGGAGAUAGGCCGGUUAGAGGCUCUCAUAGCACAUGUGUAAUAGUAGACUGCAUGUUUGCAUAAGAAAGUUUGAACGAAUUUCUAGCUUAUUGUUAUACUUUCUGUUUAUGUAAUAUACCUAUGAGN